rnacentral:snRNA from 1 species
GAAUGUGAGGGCCGUCUAGCAGCAAUAUCUGUCACCCUAUUGAUCACAGGGUUGCUUCUGCUGAUCUGGCUGGUUAAAUGGGUGUCCCCUCCUCUCUCACCUCACCAAGUGUGUCUCUCCCAAAGCUUUGCACUCAGUCCAAGAGGAUGAACUUCCCCAGCAGAGGGCAUCAAGGGUAUUGAGUAGCUGUGCUUCCCUGCUAGACCCUCCAAACAAGCUCCCCAACUAGCAAGGUGAUUAACUGAUAAUAAGUUGCUAUCAUUUUCACUCAUUUAAAUCAUUCGUUUAGUAAAUAAUAUUA